ACAACUGUUUUUUUAAAAACAAUCUACAUAAUAUAAAAAAACGUUU
rfam:Picea glauca, whole genome shotgun sequence.